UUUGGUUAAGUUAGAAAGGGCGCACGGUGGAUGCCUUGACACUAGGAGUCGAUGAAGGACGGGACUAACGCCGAUAUGCUUCGGGGAGCUGUAAGUAAGCUUUGAUCCGAAGAUUUCCGAAUGGGGAAACCCACCAUACGUAAUGGUAUGGUAUCCUUAUCUGAAUACAUAGGGUAAGGAAGACAGACCCAGGGAACUGAAACAUCUAAGUACCUGGAGGAAGAGAAAGCAAAUGCGAUUUCCUGAGUAGCGGCGAGCGAAACGGAACAUAGCCCAAACCAAGAGGCUUGCCUCUUGGGGUUGUAGGACAUUCUAUACGGAGUUACAAAGGAACGAGGUAGACGAAGCGACCUGGAAAGGUCCGUCGUAGAGGGUAACAACCCCGUAGUCGAAACUUCGUUCUCUCUUGAAUGUAUCCUGAGUACGGCGGAACACGUGAAAUUCCGUCGGAAUCUGGGAGGACCAUCUCCCAAGGCUAAAUACUCCCUAGUGAUCGAUAGUGAACCAGUACCGUGAGGGAAAGGUGAAAAGCACCCCGGAAGGGGAGUGAAAGAGAUCCUGAAACCGUGUGCCUACAAAUAGUCAGAGCCCGUUAACGGGUGAUGGCGUGCCUUUUGUAGAAUGAACCGGCGAGUUACGAUCCCGUGCGAGGUUAAGCUGAAGAGGCGGAGCCGCAGCGAAAGCGAGUCUGAAUAGGGCGUUUAGUACGUGGUCGUAGACCCGAAACCAGGUGAUCUACCCAUGUCCAGGGUGAAGUUCAGGUAACACUGAAUGGAGGCCCGAACCCACGCACGUUGAAAAGUGCGGGGAUGAGGUGUGGGUAGCGGAGAAAUUCCAAUCGAACCUGGAGAUAGCUGGUUCUCCCCGAAAUAGCUUUAGGGCUAGCCUUAAGUGUAAGAGUCUUGGAGGUAGAGCACUGAUUGGACUAGGGGUCCUCAUCGGAUUACCGAAUUCAGUCAAACUCCGAAUGCCAAUGACUUAUCCUUAGGAGUCAGACUGCGAGUGAUAAGAUCCGUAGUCAAAAGGGAAACAGCCCAGACCGCCAGCUAAGGUCCCAAAGUGUGUAUUAAGUGGAAAAGGAUGUGGAGUUGCUUAGACAACUAGGAUGUUGGCUUAGAAGCAGCCACCAUUUAAAGAGUGCGUAAUAGCUCACUAGUCGAGUGACUCUGCGCCGAAAAUGUACCGGGGCUAAAUACACCACCGAAGCUGCGGAUUGAUACCGAAUGGUAUCAGUGGUAGGGGAGCGUUCUAAGGACAGUGAAGUCAGACCGGAAGGACUGGUGGAGUGCUUAGAAGUGAGAAUGCCGGUAUGAGUAGCGAAAGACGGGUGAGAAUCCCGUCCACCGAAUGCCUAAGGUUUCCUGAGGAAGGCUCGUCCGCUCAGGGUUAGUCAGGACCUAAGCCGAGGCCGACAGGCGUAGGCGAUGGACAACAGGUUGAUAUUCCUGUACCACCUCUUUAUCGUUUGAGCAAUGGAGGGACGCAGAAGGAUAGAAGAAGCGUGCGAUUGGUUGUGCACGUCCAAGCAGUUAGGCUGAUAAGUAGGCAAAUCCGCUUAUCGUGAAGGCUGAGCUGUGAUGGGGAAGCUCCUUAUGGAGCGAAGUCUUUGAUUCCCCGCUGCCAAGAAAAGCUUCUAGCGAGAUAAAAGGUGCCUGUACCGCAAACCGACACAGGUAGGCGAGGAGAGAAUCCUAAGGUGUGCGAGAGAACUCUGGUUAAGGAACUCGGCAAAAUGACCCCGUAACUUCGGGAGAAGGGGUGCUUUCUUAACGGAAAGCCGCAGUGAAUAGGCCCAAGCGACUGUUUAGCAAAAACACAGCUCUCUGCGAAGCCGUAAGGCGAAGUAUAGGGGGUGACACCUGCCCGGUGCUGGAAGGUUAAGGAGAGGGGUUAGCGUAAGCGAAGCUCUGAACUGAAGCCCCAGUAAACGGCGGCCGUAACUAUAACGGUCCUAAGGUAGCGAAAUUCCUUGUCGGGUAAGUUCCGACCCGCACGAAAGGUGUAACGAUUUGGGCACUGUCUCAACCAGAGACUCGGUGAAAUUAUAGUACCUGUGAAGAUGCAGGUUACCCGCGACAGGACGGAAAGACCCCGUGGAGCUUUACUGUAGCCUGAUAUUGAAUUUUGGUACAGUUUGUACAGGAUAGGCGGGAGCCUUUGAAACCGGAGCGCUAGCUUCGGUGGAGGCGCUGGUGGGAUACCGCCCUGACUGUAUUGAAAUUCUAACCUACGGGUCUUAUCGACCCGGGAGACAGUGUCAGGUGGGCAGUUUGACUGGGGCGGUCGCCUCCUAAAGUGUAACGGAGGCGCCCAAAGGUUCCCUCAGAAUGGUUGGAAAUCAUUCGUAGAGUGCAAAGGCAUAAGGGAGCUUGACUGCGAGACCUACAAGUCGAGCAGGGACGAAAGUCGGGCUUAGUGAUCCGGUGGUUCCGCAUGGAAGGGCCAUCGCUCAACGGAUAAAAGCUACCCCGGGGAUAACAGGCUUAUCUCCCCCAAGAGUCCACAUCGACGGGGAGGUUUGGCACCUCGAUGUCGGCUCAUCGCAUCCUGGGGCUGUAGUCGGUCCCAAGGGUUGGGCUGUUCGCCCAUUAAAGCGGUACGCGAGCUGGGUUCAGAACGUCGUGAGACAGUUCGGUCCCUAUCCGUCGUGGGCGUAGGAAAUUUGAGAGGAGCUGUCCUUAGUACGAGAGGACCGGGAUGGACGCACCGCUGGUGUACCAGUUGUUCUGCCAAGGGCAUAGCUGGGUAGCUAUGUGCGGAAGGGAUAAGUGCUGAAAGCAUCUAAGCAUGAAGCCCCCCUCAAGAUGAGAUUUCCCAUAGCGUAAGCUAGUAAGAUCCCUGAAAGAUGAUCAGGUUGAUAGGUUCGAGGUGGAAGCGUGGUGACAUGUGGAGCUGACGAAUACUAAUAGAUCGAGGACUUAACCAUAUAA
rnacentral:rRNA from 1 species